rnacentral:rRNA from 1 species
CCUACGGGAGGCAGCAGUGGGGAAUAUUGCACAAUGGGGGAAACCCUGAUGCAGCAACGCCGCGUGAAGGAAGACGGUUUUCGGAUUGUAAACUUCUGUUCUUAGUGAAGAAAAUGACGGUACCUGACUAAGAAGCCCCGGCUAACUACGUGCCAGCAGCCGGGGUAAUACGUAAGGGGCAAGCGUUAACCGGAUUGACUGGGUGUAAAGGGAGCGUAGACGGCUGUGCAAGCCAGAUGUGAAAGCCCGGGGCUCAACCCCGGGACUGCAUUUGGAACUGUGUGGCUGGAGUGUCGGAGAGGCAGGCGGAAUUCCUAGUGUAGCGGUGAAAUGCGUAGAUAUUAGGAGGAACACCAGUGGCGAAGGCGGCCUGCUGGACGAUGACUGACGUUGAGGCUCGAAAGCGUGGGGAGCAAACAGGAUUAGAUACCCUUGUAGUC